UCCAAAAUCAUAUAACAUCAGUAAUAGAAAUAAAUAAACUUCCAUUAAACAAUCAAGUUUCACAAAAGGUUUGUAAGGAAACAAAAAUAAUCGAAUAGAAAAUACUUAUUAACGAAAUAUCGAUCUUUUUGCUUCUUUUCCUUCAAAUCACUACUUAAACUUAUGUAGUCAAGUUUUUCAAAAAUAACAGUCUCAACUAACUAUCAUUAAGAUUGGUGAACACAAAAGAAGAGCAAACUCGUAACGACUCGUAAUAAUGUCAACACGUGAUACUGCUCUCAUCAUAAUUUUUUAGUUUUUAUAAAAAUUUAGAAAUUAAUAAAUUAGUCACGUAUCUCUCGUCAAUACGAAGAUUAUGAUCUAAGAAUUGAAGCAAUAGAAAAUAAAUUGGGAAAAUGGCAGAAAAUAAAGAGACAACACGAAAAACAUUUAGUAGCUAACUUUUAAUUAGGGUUUUAGUUGUCUAAAAUAGAAAUUAACAAAUAUAUUUGUUAAUACAAGUUUAUAAAUAUUGCUAAAGGAUCCGACAAAUGUUUAUUCUGAUUAAUUAUUCCCACAAAUAUUGUUUUAGCUAAGAAAACCUUACAAAUCUUAAUUAUUUGUAAAAAGCAAAAAAAAAAAAAAACUAAAAUAUGUCCCAUUAACAACAAAAACAUAUGCUCUUGUAAAAUUUUCUGCCCUAAGCCAUAGCUUCACCCGCUUAUGCCAUAGACCAGCCCUGGCGGCCAAUCGGGCAACAAAGAAGAAGUAGGAAAGGAAUUAUAAGAGAGCGAUGAAUUUCACCUAAACUUACCUCCUUAUUUAUAGGUUAGAAUUAUAGCUCACCAAUUGACUUAACGUAUUUACUAAAUGCUAUACAAUAGCCAUUGUUAUUUGGGCAUUAAAAAGGCCUUACAAAAGUUGGUAUAUAUAACAAGUAAUAGAAACUCAAGAGAAUGUAAAUUAUCCUUUCUUUUGUUGAAACUCGAGAGAAUGUAGAUUAUCCUUUCUUUUGCUGCAAGAGAUAUUUUGUUAUCUAUUGUAGGCUUUCAAAGCAAGAUAUAAGGUAAAGUGGACUAGGCUUAAAAUAGACAAACCCAAGGAAAAGCUUACAGAGAAAAAAUAAUAUGUUAGUCUUAAUAACCAAAUAAUUAUUACCUGUAAGGUUUUUCAUUCACACAACCAUAAUGUUACGGGAGGGCAGGUCCAGUUAAAUCGAACUGAAUAGAACUAAUUUUCAUGUGGUUUAAGGAAAAAGAAAAAUCCAUGUGGUUUGAGAUAUUUCUUGUUUGAUCCAUGUCUUUAAAACUACAAUUCAAAAGAUAAAAAACCACUAAAACUUGGUCACAGAAAAAAAAAACCUUUGAGAGAAAACCCUAGAGCUACCGCAAGAGAAAAAGAGUGUUCAUUGGUCUUACCUUCUCCGGUAUCCGGCGACCUUCGUCCGUGCUGUGAGAAGGUCCUUAGUCUAGUAUAGUGUCGUUUGUAGGCUGAGAAGAGGCUUCCAAGAAACAGGGGAGUUGGAGAUAAGGGACUCGAUGUCGAUCUCUUCCUGUCGAUUGCUUAGGCUGAUUGACUACAUCCGAAGCUUUUUCUGCUGUGCAGUGCAGGUUAUACCGGCUAUGAUGUGGGGUGGUACUUCUUCCAUCGGUUCAGGUUUUCCGGAUUACUUGGUAAGGAAUUGUGGAGCCAUAGCUCAAUUGCAUGCAAUCUUUGAGUAGUUAAUUACCAACCGCGUCUUCUUUAGCUGCUCGGGUUGAAGAUUGGUUCUAUGUGGCUUCUUGUAGAGGAAGAAAUUUUAUGUGUGGUGGUUGAACGUGCUGCACUGGUGAAAACGUUAUAGGAGAUCAUCUUCCAACUCAGAUAAUUAAGCUUGCAUCGCUUUUUCUUUCAUAUAUGCUUUCGGCCGUUUAGCUUUUCCAUUUUUGAAAUUCUUCGCUUAUCUCCCUAUGCUCCUUAUCAACUUCUCUUCUUCUUUUAGUUUAGCGUAUGUUUUAGUGGAUGUAUCAAACUUUGUCUCCGGAUGGUGCAUAUCACCAUGCUGGCUUAUGGUUCCGGAAAGGUUCCAACACUUUUGUUGGCUUUGUGAA